UACGUAGGGGCCAAGCGUUGUCCGGAGUUACUGGGCGUAAAGGGCGCGCAGGCGGUUGGUUACGUCGUGUGUGAAAGCCCCCGGCUCAACCGGGGAGGGUCGCGCGAAACGGGCCAACUGGAGGCAAGGCGAGGUCGGUGGAAUUCCCGGUGUAGUGGUGAAAUGCGUAGAGAUCGGGAGGAACACCAGAGGCGAAGGCGGCCGACUGGACUUGACCUGACGCUGAGGCGCGAAGGCGUGGGGAGCUAACGGGGAUUAGAUACCCGCGUAGUCC
rnacentral:rRNA from 1 species